CUGAAAUGCCACAACUUAAUCAGUCACUUUCAAUUGCUCAAGAAAGAGAUGGUGCAUAAUAAAUUCUGCUCCAGACUUUCACCUUGAAUCUAUGUGUGUCACCCUGCUCAAAUGUGUUUCUUGUAAAUAA
rnacentral:lncRNA from 1 species